rnacentral:rRNA from 1 species
GGACAAUCUGUCCUGGAGUGGAGGAUAAUCCCGGGAAACUGGGGGUAAUACUCCAUAAUUCGAUAUAACUGGAAUGUUUUUCGAAUAAAAGAUCCGUCGCUCCAGGAUGAGUCUGCGGCCGAUUAGGUAGUUGUUGGGGUAACUGCCCAACAAGCCUGUCAUCGGUACGGGUUGUGGGAGCAAGAGCCCGGAGAUGGAUUCUGAGACACGAAUCCAGGCCCUACGGGGUGCAGCAGGCGCGAAAACUUUACAAUGCUGGCAACAGCGAUAAGGGGACCUCGAGUGCCAGGUUACAAAUCUGGCUGUCGAGAUGCCUAAAAAGCAUUUCAUAGCAAGGGCCGGGCAAGACCGGUGCCAGCCGCCGCGGUAACACCGGCGGCUCGAGUGGUAACCGUUAUUAUUGGGUCUAAAGGGUCUGUAGCCGGUCGGAUAAGUCUCUUGGGAAAUCUGGCAGCUUAACUGUCAGGCUUUCAGGAGAUACUGUUCGGCUCGAGGCCGGGAGAGGUGAGAGGUACUUCAGGGGUAGGGGUGAAAUCUUGUAAUCCUUGAAGGACCACCAGUGGCGAAGGCGUCUCACCAGAACGGACCUGACGGCAAGGGACGAAAGCUAGGGGCACGAACCGGAUUAGAUACCCGGGUAGUCCUAGCCGUAAACGAUACUCGCUAGGUGUCGGCCACGGUGCGACCGUUGUCGGUGCCGUAGGGAAGCCGUGAAGCGAGCCACCUGGGAAGUACGGCCGCAAGGCUGAAACUUAAAGGAAUUGGCGGGGGAGCAC